UCACCACAUCACUCCAGUCUUAGCAUCCCUUCACUGGUUUCCUCUUGCUAUUAGAAUUCAUUUUAAAAUUCUUUUAUUUGUUUUUAAGUCAAUAAA